rnacentral:rRNA from 1 species
UACGUAGGGUGCGAGCGUUAAUCGGAAUACUGGGCGUAAAGCGUGCGCAGGCGGUGAUGUAAGACAGUUGUGAAAUCCCCGGGCUCAACCUGGGAAUUGCAUCUGUGACUGCAUCGCUAGAGUACGGUAGAGGGGGAUGGAAUUCCGCGUGUAGCAGUGAAGUGCGUAGAUAUGCGGAGGAACACCGAUGGCGAAGGCAAUCCCCUGGACCUCGUACUGACGCUCAUGCACGAAAGCGUGGGGGAGCAAACAG